GCUUGAUGUUUGCACUUACUGAAAACCAACCCUCCUCGCAUCUGAUUGUAGAUAGCUGUAAAUAUUGUUCAAAGGUUUCAGAGAAGCGAAGGGAGAGCGUGCAGAUAAAGGAUGCCGUGGUGGGAGCGCGCAGUCUCCUGCGCAUUCUUUGUAUAGUCAAAACCUCCAAUCAGAAGUAGGACAGUUAAAGUUUUCUUCAUGUGAAAGCUUUACGUUGGGCUUUUUUUUUUUUUUUUUGUAUGCUGUAGCAAGAGAAGCACUGGCUUUAAAGGAGGAACUCUAUGGAGACCAGCUAUGUUAAAGGUGACUAAAUGAUAAGUUAUAAAAUGAAUAAUCAUACGAAUGGAUGCAGAAAGAUGUAAUUGAACCAUGAAAUUGUGGAACUUGGUGGAUAUUUUAAAUUUAGAAUAAUUUUUGCAAUUCCACACUCUUCUUUAAUUAAAAAAUGCUGCAGGUAUUUUCAUUAAAAUGUUGCUUGUACGAUGAUAUUUUCAUGGUUAAAUUACACAUUUAGUCUUAAUAUUGUUGGUAUGAUCACUUAUUUUAUGACAUCAAAUAUACUUAUUGCCUAGUAACAGCUAUAGUUUGGGCCUCCAUAGAUAACUACAUUGGUGGCACAGAUUGUUGUGUAGGACCAGGUAAAGUUUACUUGAGUUGUUUGCCACCAGUGAGGUCACAGGGUACUUUCUGUUCAUCUUGCUGAGGAGUCUCAUACAAUAAAGGGAGUGGGGUUCGGAUUUGUUCUUCUGUGGCUGCAAGGGAAACCUCAGACCAUGUGAAGCUUAGAGAACGAGCACUAAGUUAAACCUUUAUACUCAAGAAAAGCUGUGGUUUUCUGACACACCAGGCUUUUUGUUACCAGCGAGGGGCAGGUUGUGCUCCUGUCCAGCAGGGCUUCAUGCCACAGGAGCUAAAGGAAAUCGGUACCGGAGGAUCAAAAUACAAAAGAACUCCCACUCUUCCUGCCAAUCACUCAGGCUCACCCCUUUACAUUUCAUCUGAUCGCCUCAGAUCCUAAUGAGCAGUAUACGGCGGGGAAUUUAGCCUAGACUUUGUGGGUAACGUAGUUUGGUACUAUCGAGACGCUCUGGCCCUUCAUUCCUGCAUGGUCCCUAUUGGUGUUCCAGCCAGCAUGAGAACAAGGACACAAACUGUGAAUCAUCUUUGUAUUUUUUAAAUAAAUUCCUCUGCAACAUUUAUGGCUUUGGUUUUGUAAAUGGGUUAUUUCUUUUAAGCUCUCAUUGUUUUUGUAAAUGAUUUUUCUUUGGUUCUUCUUUUUUUCGUUGGGAUUUUUUCAUUUGACUAAUUAUAAUGUAUAGA
ensembl:lncRNA